AGCGAAAGAGAGAGUGAUUCGAUUUUGCGUUUGUGCUAUUCGAAUAUCAUUUUUCUCGCUCUUAUGGUUUGCGAGUUUUCUGUUGAUUUUGUUCUCGGAAACUGCGCAGCGUGUGCAUCGCGAGUUCUAAUUCUUUGCCCUUGGAAAAUUUUAAUUUCUCCGCUUCCGCUACCUCACUUGCUGGUGAUCGACGUGACCAGGAGAAAGUCAACAAUGGCAUCAUGGGAAAACCGGUCGUAUUGUUGGCGAAAACUUCCCUGGCGGAACCAGGCAACCCGUGGAAGACAUGUCCCUAAAUCAAUAUCAAGGUUAACUACACUUGAAGCGCAGAAUCAUACGGUGAAAUUACGCUUCAAUAGGCAGGAUCCACCAAGAAGUUUGUUUCUUCUUUUUUUGGUGGUAGAAAAUGAUUUGCUUACAGGUAACAUCCCAGCUGCUCAAAUUGUUGCCACUAAUCUGAUGGACAAGCUAGAAAAUAUGUUUAUUUUCUUGGUAGAAUAGGACAUAUUGCCGUACGUAGAAGUGCUUGGGCCUGCUAGGCGAACCAUUCGUACUGAUGUGACUCCAGCACCCGAAUUGUGCAAAAUAAAUGUAGUGGUCA